rnacentral:rRNA from 1 species
CUGGCGGCGUGCCUAAUACAUGCAAGUCGAACGGUCUUUCUAUGGAAGCUUGCUUCCACUGAGAAGAUAGUGGCGAACGGGUGAGUAACACGUGGGUAACCUGCCCAUAAGAGGGGGAUAACAUCCGGAAACGGGUGCUAAUACCGCAUAGUUUUCUUGAUCGCAUGAUUGAGAAAGGAAAGACGGCCUUUGUGCUGUCGCUUAUGGAUGGACCCGCGGCGUAUUAGUUAGUUGGUGAGGUAAUGGCUCACCAAGACGAUGAUACGUAGCCGACCUGAGAGGGUGAUCGGCCACAUUGGGACUGAGACACGGCCCAAACUCCUACGGGAGGCAGCAGUAGGGAAUCUUCCGCAAUGGACGAAAGUCUGACGGAGCAACGCCGCGUGAGUGAAGAAGGUUUUCGGGAAUCGUAAAACUCUGUUGUCAGAGAAGAACAAGUUGGAGAGUAACUGCUCCAGCCUUGACGGUAUCUGACCAGAAAGCCACGGCUAACUACGUGCCAGCAGCAGC